rnacentral:rRNA from 1 species
AACGUAGGUGGCGAGCGUUAUCCGGAUUUACUGGGCGUAAAGCGUGUGCAGGCGGGGGGGUAAGUGGUGGAUGAAAUCGCCCAGCUUAACUGGGCAAGGUUAUGCCAGACUGUCACUCUAGAGUGCGAGAGAGGGGCGUGGAAUUCCGGGUGUAGUGGUGAAAUGCGUAGAGAUCCGGAGGAACCCCAGAGGCGAAGGCGGCGCCCUGGCUCGCAACUGACGCUCAGACACGACAGCAUGGGGAGCGAACGGG